rnacentral:lncRNA from 1 species
AUGGUCCUGCUCCUCAAGGGCGUACCUUUCACCCUCACCACGGUGGACACGCGCAGUCCCCGGACGUGCUGAAGGACUUCGCCCCCGGCUCGCAGCUGCCCAUCCUGCUCUAUGACAGCGACGCCAAGACAGACACGCUGCAGAUCGAGGACUUUCUGGAGGAGACGCUGGGGCCGCCCGCUUCCCCAGCCUGGCGCCUCGUUACAGGGAGUCCAACACCGCCGGCAACGACGUUUUCCACAAGUUCUCCGCGUUCAUCAAGAACCCGGUGCCCGCGCAGGACGAACCCUGUACCAGCAGCUGCUGCGCGCCCUCGCCAGGCUGGACAGCUACCUGCGCGCGCCCCUGGAGCACGAGCUGGCGGGGGAGCCGCAGCUGCGCGAGUCCCGCCGCCGCUUCCUGGACGGCGACAGGCUCACGCUGGCCGACUGCAGCCUCCUGCCCAAGCUGCACAUCGUCGAACGGUGUGCGCGCACUUCCGCCAGGCGCCCAUCCCCGCGGAGCUGCGCGGCGUACGCCGCUACCUGGACAGCGCGAUGCAGGAGAAAGAGUUCAAAUACACGUGUCCGCACAGCGCCGAGAUCCUGGCGGCCUACCGGCCCGCCGUGCACCCCCG